rnacentral:rRNA from 1 species
GUGAACGAUGAAGGUCUUCUGAUUGUAAAGUUCUUUUAUUUAGGAAAAAAAGCUUGAGAGGAAAUGAUUAAGCCUUGAUUGUACUAAAUGAAUAAGUGACAGCUAACUAUGUGCCAGCAGCUGCGGUAAAACAUAGGUCACGAGCAUUAUCCGGAUUUAUUGGGCGUAAAGGAAGCGUAGGCGGACAAAUUGAUCUAUUGUUAAAGGCACUUGCUCAACGAGUUGUUUGUGAUAGAUAUCGUUUGUCUAGAAUUAGUUAGGAGAUACUGGAAUUCAAUGUGUAGCGGUGGAAUGCGUAGAUAUAUUGAGGAACACCAGAGGCUAAGGCGAGUAUCUAGGACAUAAUUGACGCUGAGGCUUGAAAGCGUGGGGAGCAAAUGGGAUUAGAUACCCCAGUAGUCCACGCCGUAAACGAUGGGUAUUAGGUAUUUGGUUUAGGACUGAGUGCUGUAGCUAACGCGUUAAAUACCCCGCCUGGGUAGUAUAUAUGC